rnacentral:lncRNA from 1 species
CUGCACAGAUUAAUUUGUCAUGUGGCAGCUAAAAUUGAUAUUUUACACUUUUAAUUUUUGUACGCAAACAAAGAUAUAUUUUUACAAGUUUUUAUACUCUAAGUCUAAAAUAAGGCUAAAUAAAAAGGGCAGAAGAGUAAUGUUAUAUAUUUCUAAAUUAAUGGUUGAUUUCAAAAUACAAAUAAAAAAUAAUUUGACUCUGAAUUUUCAAUAGUUAAAAACUUGACUGGCUACCAUUAUUAUUAUCAAGUCAAAUGAGAGUUUUCCAUAAAAUUGUCUAUGUUGUAAUUUAAGAGAUGUAUACCUACUAAACUCCCCUUUAAAACCGUCAUUACUUUUUUUGCAGAAUACUUUUCAUUGUAAUAAACAACUAACUUGCCCACAUUCUGCCGUCUUUAAACAUACUGUACAUGUACAGUAAUAACAUUUGAAUGUUUAAGUUUCUUUUUAUGAUACAGAGACUUUUUCAUUUUAUUGUGACUCCUAAAAUAUAGAGGUUGGAGAGAAAAUUAGCUGACGUUCUACUAAUUUAUCUUUUGAUAUUUAAUUACAUAACUUGAGUUAACAUUUGUUUUGAAAAGAAGGUGAGAACAGUUGGUCAUUGUCAAAAGGAAAAAUACGAGUUGGAAUUUUAAGUAAGUUAUUGUUUUAUGAGAUGGCACUUUGUAAAAAAGUUAAGAAUCAAAUUAUUUUUAAACUGGGAUGAGUGAACAAAGACCCUGGGAUGAGUGAACAAGACCUACUAUCUCAGAAAUAGUUGUACAAGAUAGAAAUGAUUAACUGUACAGUAACAGAAAAUAUGUAACCUUCUUUUAAAUUAAUUAUCUUUUAUUUCAAAAAGUUAAGAAAACAAUUCAAGUACAUAUUCCGUUAGAAAGGAUGUAAAUUCAGUUACAUGAAGAAUGAACUCGUCUAAAAAAAAGAUAAGUUAUAAAUUCUGUUAAAAAAUCACACCAACAUAUUUUUGGCAAGUAUUCAAAGUGGCAAGAAAUGAGUUGAGAAUAGAGUAGAUAAACUGUUUUAUCUAAACUAAUGGCACAGUAAAUAUUUGCGAGGUGAAGAGAAGCAGUCAUCCACCAGUCACCUUCACUGACUAGAGACACAUCUACCUCCAACCUCUGAACACGCCACAAGUAUCUGUUAGAUCUACAGACCAUCAGCAAACUCCUCACUGACUACUUUGAGUUGACAAGACAUCGCUGAUCCAGGGCCUCCCCAACACUUGUAAUAAAGUAAUAAAAUCUGCUGACAGAUGUAUAUUCUGCUAUCGUUCCAGGCUUCACCCAUCACUGACCAGACAAGCUUGGAACGGAACGGAGAGAUCUGAACAUGAAACACGUAACACAGCAAGGCACUGGAGACUACUCACUCUAAACAACGCAACGUAACCAUCCGCUCACUGCAGACAACCCGGUACGAGCUACCCAGCUUGCUACGUGCAACGAGCUCACAUUUCCCCCACAGAACUCUGCAAUACUCAAGGUUCCAUUCAAAAUGUUUGUAUGAAUGAUGAACAUGAUCUCUUGAACCGUAUAAGUGCUACACACCAGAACCAAAACCAAAAGGAUGGGCGACAAUGUUCAAUAAUUUCAAGAAAAUAGAGCCCUUUAAUACUGAUCAGUUGAAGCCUGUUUUGUUGGAAAGACAGAAGACUGUUACAGCAGAUCAGCACACUCAAUAUGAUCCUUGCCAGAGAGACGUCUGCUGCCCCUAGGUGCCGCAGCACAUACUUUUGGGACCCUCUAGACUGUGGUAUUCUGUCUCAUAAGAUCUAAGUACAAAUAGGCCCCAUGGACAGUUUAAUCCAUCUGAAGUAAAAGAUUGGCUGCAAGUUUAAGACAAUUUAUUGUAAUUUACACCUAAUAACAAAUAUAUUGCAAAUUCAUAACAAUAGUACAUGACAUUAUAAAGUCAUUCUGUGAUUCACAAAUUACAUUGCUUUCUUAAAAACCAAUUACAUAACUAAUGAAACUGCAGUACCUUUUAAGAUGUUUAGUGCAAGUAGAAAUAGAUUUGAGCAACAUUACGUAAAAAUAGUAAUUAAAAUGUGUGGUACUUAUUGGUAAAAAAAUCCAAUACUCUGUGUUUCCUCCAUGUGGUACAAUGUAAUUCUUAAAUUAAUUAGAAUAUAUUUAUAUACAGGAUGAAAAACUAAAAGUCAAUAAACUAACAUGGAGUAUGAAA